CCUGGGACACGGCGUAGACCGCAGCCUCGUGAAAGUGACUCCGGAUUCAUAAAGGCGUGUGGUGGAAAUGCAUCCUCGAUGGCUGUGACAUCACGCUGUGGAUGAGAAUGGCCUUGACAAAAAUGCAGCUUCUGGCAACAUUCAUCAGCUCUGGAGACGCGUCCACGCGGGCCAUCCCACGCGCUCCGGACUCGGGACCGCCCCACCCGCUGAGCCAGCCCGGCCAGCCCAGGAACCGCAGCGGGAGCAGCCCCUGGAGACGAGGCUCCGUGCACCUCCCCCACUGUCCUUGUCUGCCAUUUGCAUCACCCAAACCGCCGACAGAGGCCCCUGUCGCCUCCGGUGACGUCCUCGGAAUCCCCCUUUCCUAUGAAGGGAUUUUCCCCCCCGCUGCCGCUGUCAUUCAGAAUAUCACGCCCUCGGCCUUCUCUUUAGCCUUCAAGUUCAUUUUUCCGAGGAAAAUGAGCACUGGAAUUUUACUAGAUGUUAUGAAGACAAAUUAAUCUGGAGAUACACACAGCAUUUAUCUCAUGCCUGAAAAAGAGCGAGGAGUCAACAGACACUCAUUUUCCUCCUCCUUUGGCAGAAUCUAUUGUUCCUGUAAAACGUGUCCACAAGGGAAAUUGAG